rnacentral:lncRNA from 1 species
GGGACUUUAGGACACUCACGAGACUGUCAGAGAAGAGUGACUGGCUCUUGUUUGGGAACAGGGAGCAAUCAGGAUGAGGAAGACAAGCUGUACGAGACUACUGGCUACAGGGCUGAGUAAUGCAACGUCAGAUGGAUAAAGUGUGAACGAUGACACACAGCUACCUCAGGUACUGGGAGAAAGCUUGAAGCGUGCAGAUUUGUUAAGCACCCAGUCCCUCCUGAACAGUACAGUGAGUACAGACAGUGGAAAGAACCGUGGCUAUAGUUGGCUGUCUUUCUGUGCACAGUGUGACUUGCUGUGUCGCCCAUGAAGCGAUUUCUGAGUUCGAGGCCAGCCUGGUCUACAGAAUGACUCCUGUCAGCUUGAGAAAACUUGGACUAGUUCUAGAAGACUUGGGUAAAAGGAGGACUUGGCGUCAUAAGGUAGGUGAAUAGAUAAGACCCAGUUGGCUAUGGAGUUUUCCUUUCAGAGGCUCAGAGAGAUAGGGUGAGGAUGAGUAUGUCUUCAUAGGGCCAAGCAAGCGAGGAUGCUUCCCAGGGCUGAUGGGAGUUCUGACACCCACGCUUCCACAGCUGUGGGAAGGAGCUGCUCUAGUUUCUAACCAAGGCCCUGGGUCUGCAGUCAGGUCUGGAACAGUGGCCAUAGAAUAGGCAAUCAGAAGCAAUGAGCUGUGUUCCCCCCCCCCCCAUUUUUUCCUGGAUGAACACUCCAUUUAAUAAGCUCAAGGAAAACAACCCGGAAAUUGGAAAGAUAAAGAAAGGGCCAUUAGUGGUCUGUGCUCUCCACACAUGUGAUGUCUUUGCUGUGAUCACAGGAACUGUCACCUGAGAACAUAUGUUUCUGUCUCCUGAUGCAUCCUCCAGGGAGGGAGGCUGGUUCAAGGGGAACACACCAUGUAGUUACAGGGUGAGCACAAGAGAGAAGAGACAGAGGAUAGACGGUGACAGCAGCAGUCCUGGGGAAAGGUGAUGACAGCUUAGGGAGGAGGGAUGGAUGUUAGGACCCUGUGCAGGUUUAUUUCUCAGCUGGGGACGUGCCAGCUGGAUGGUAUGAGUGGG